UGAAGGCAUAAUUUGAAAAAAGAGCGUGCAGACCUUUCUGUAGAUGUACCAAACACUUCAGUGUUUUAAGACUGAGCUGUUUUCUGGACUUUUUUAGUGAGAGAUCCUAGCCUUACCAUGUGGCAGAGUUCACAGCUGCCCAUGAUAAUACUGACUACCUAGUCCAAAAACAGUACAGCCACAUGGUCGUGCUGUUGACUGGUGGGUUUAGGAGCUGACCUGCUGCUGUUGUGCCACACCCGACUGUAGUGCAAGAAUGCCCAGGAACACAGCCACUAGUAAUGACAAACACUACUAGAAAAAAACCUUCUAUGACAGGAGUCUUGGUUAACUCUUCCAUUGUCCAUGAUUCUGAAGAAGUGUGCAGUACUGUCUGCUGCAUCUGUAUCUCUAGUGCCAAAUAGCUAAGAAAGAGCUUGACAGCCAACCGAGGCUUUGAAGAAACUUUUUGCAUAUCAUGUCAAUGGAGAUGUAAGAAAAAGGAGAGGGAGAAGAAAGCACCUUUCAAUGCUCUCUACAAAGUCAAUGGAAACCCCUAUUGUUUCUCAGCAUUUCACAGAUACAGAACAGCAUGCUAAACAUGGGGGGCCUCUCCUGAAUCUCAUUGCUCUUGGCUUCAAUGGUGCCAAGUGAGUCUUCUUUUCUUGUGCGUGUAUAUUAGAGCAAUAAAAAGUAAAAGGUUGUGAAAGCAUCUGCUGUGACAGACUGUUUUUGUCAGAAAUCUUCCAUGUGGAUGCUUGUUGUCUUUUGCUGUAUUUCUAUUACUCUCCUUUGACCUUUAAAGAUCUUCUGAAUGCAGUUGAAUAAUACUGGUGCUAGCUGAUAAGCAAACGAUAGACGGAGAAAUCCUACCCUGUGGUAUGCAAGUCAUCACCACUG